UCCGGUGAGAUGCCGGUGCGGACGCGCCACUGUAUCCGGGACGCGGAUCCCGGGAGCCAGG
rnacentral:ncRNA from 1 species